rnacentral:lncRNA from 1 species
CCAUCUCUUAUGUUUGGACUGCACCUUAAUUUUCACCACAUGAGUUCAUCUGCAUUAGCCCCAAAAGAGAGAUCUAUCUCCUGCCCUGGAACAUGGGCAGCGCUUUUGACUGUCUCCGUGCAUAUAAUAUGGUGGAAGUGACACUGCUUGACUUGUGAAGCUGGAUCACAAUGGGUUAUUGACUUCCACCAGCCUGUCUCCGGGGACAGGUGACUUCAUGUAAGAAGUCCAGCUACCCUGACAGAGAGUCCACAUUGGAGGGAGCACACUGUAAUAGACAGAGGUGCCUGAGGAGCCCCGGCUGUUCCAGCCGCCAGCUAUUUAGGUCUUCCCAAGUCAGGCACCAGAGAGUAUGAAUGGAAAGGCCUUCAAGAGAACUCUAGCCCCAGCCAUUGUCUGAUUGUCACUGCAUGAGGACCAAAAACUACCUAGCUGAGCCCCAUCAACCCCUAAAGAAGUGAAAGAUAGUAAUGACAAAUGCUUGCUGUUGUUUUAUAGCACCAAGCUCUGAGUGGUUUGUUGUGCUGCAGGCUCCAAGAGAAGUAACUUUCUGAGAGCACUCAGGAAUUUCUUAGUGGAACUGGGGCUAGAAUCAAUUCACUGCAUUUAAUGCAGUAUUAACCAGACAACUGUGUUGGGCCCUGGGGACCAGAGAAGAAUUAACACACAGCCCAAGCCUUCCCCUGGUCUGAGCUUCCUCUUCCCACCUUCAUAUUCAUGGCAGCUUCUUCUUGCUGGGAGUGGGAUAGAGGAGCCCUAGGGCUGCUGGCUUCUGGAAGGAACUGGCUCCAGGGCACCCUGGCUAUUCCCUUGCUCCAUGCUGUGUGCAGGUGGCUCUGGCACCAAGAGGUGGCACCAAACCUGCUGCCAGCCUUGGCUUUCUCACCAGUCCUGCUCUGAUGAGUUGACAGGCUGUGUUUGGAAUUGAGCAUGGCGGUAUUACAAAGGCAAGUGGGUACCACACAACCUGCCCGCAGUGUUGCUUUGUUCUGAUGAAUUACACUGAGUCCCUGGAUUCACAUUUGGCUGGAUUGUCAGGAAAAAUAUGUGUUCUGGGUGCCACCUGAUCUUUUCAUCUAGCUUCUGUCCUCAGGUAAACAUUCCCUGUUAAAAUUCUAAAUGUUCAUCUGCUUCCUCUAAAGAGAUUGGUAAAAAGGCAUAAAACACCUAAGAAUCAGUGUUACUUGUAAUGAGCCCAGGGCUGCCGCAGGGAGCACCAUAUACAUAGAAUACCAGGUGAGUGAGUGGGGCCCUCAGGGCUGAAGUAUUAUGCUCUAGGCCAGAAAAAGGAUAUUUUCUUUUUAUUCCUGGGAUACAGAUAAUGUAUUUUCACAUAACAGCCACAUGUUUCAUGAAUUAAGCCAACAAAUAUUUACCAAGUAUCCUUUAAAUCCUUUAGUAUUUAAAGUAUCAUUUUUUGCAAAAAAAAAAAAAA